rnacentral:tRNA from 2 species
GGGGGCAUAGCUCAGCUGGGAGAGUGCUUGCAUGGCAUGCAAGAGGUCAGGGGUUCGAUCCCCCUUGUCUCCA